CCUACGGGAGGCAGCAGUAGGGAACCUUCCACAAUGGACGAAAGUCUGAUGGAGCAACGCCGCGUGAGUGAUGAAGGGUUCCGGCUCGUAAAACUCUGUUGUUGGAGAAGAACAGGUGUCAGAGUAACUGUUGACACCUUGACGGUAUCCAACUAGAAAGCCACGGCUAACUACGUG
rnacentral:rRNA from 1 species